GUGCUUGCUUUGGUAGCACAUAUACUAAAAUUGGAAUAAUACAGAAGUUAGCAUGGCCCCUGUGCAAGGAUUGCACGCAAAUUUGUGAAGCAUACCAUAUUUGG